rnacentral:miRNA from 2 species
CUGGCCCUCUCUGCCCUUCCGC